AUCGCUUCUCGGCCUUUUGGCUAAGAUCAAGCGUAGUAUCUGUUCUUAUCAGUUUAAUAUCUGAUAUGUCUCCUAUCUGGGGACCAAAUAUUAAAUUGCUUUUUGGGACAGGGAGCUGAGCUCGGGGCUUGUGCCGUCAGCUCCACGCAUCGACCUGGUAUUGCAGUAUCUCCGGGAGCGGUGCACUUCUC